rnacentral:rRNA from 1 species
GACGAACGCUGGCGGCGUGCUUAACACAUGCAAGUCGAACGCUGAAGCUUGGUGUUUGCACUGGGUGGAUGAGUGGCGAACGGGUGAGUAAUACGUGAGUAACCUGCUCUUGACUCUGGGAUAAGCCUGGGAAACUGGGUCUAAUACUGGAUACGACAUGUCACCGCAUGGUGGUGUGUGGAAAGGGUUUUACUGGUUUUGGAUGGGCUCAUGGCCUAUCAGCUUGUUGGUGGGGUAAUGGCCCACCAAGGCGACGACGGGUAGCCGGCCUGAGAGGGUGACCGGCCACAAUGGGACUGAGACACGGCGCAGACUCCUACGGGAGGCAGCAGUGGGAAAUAUUGCACAAUGGGCGGAAGCCUGAUGCAGCGACGCCGCGUGAGGGAUGACGGCCUUCGGGUUGUAAACCUCUUUCAGCACGGAAGAAGCGAAAGUGACGGUACGUGCAGAAGAAGCGCCGGCUAACUACGUG